rnacentral:misc_RNA from 1 species
UCUCUCCAAGAAUCCUUCUCAACACCAUCCCUUAUCUUAUUUGUAACAAGCCUAAAAAAAAUUGUGCCCAAUUCUGAAUGCUCUUCUAAAACUACAGCAAUUGCACAACUCAGAGGCUGUAGUGAACCUCUCGAGGGUGACAUGGGGCUUGGAGUUCCACACAACAAAGAACACAACGCUAGUGUGUUCCAGCAGUCUAAAACACAUCUUCCACAGGGCACAACAAAAGCAGAAAUUCGUGUUUUCUUAUGUGGCAGCUUGUGAAGAUGUGUUUUUCAAUCCAAACAGGUUUCCAAGCGUGUUUUCAGCAAUCCUAACAUGAUCCUACUUGUUUUCGGAAAGUUAUUGAAUGUUUUGGGAGAGUUUGUCAAAAUUAAUCUAAUUUAUUUUCCUAUUUCAAUUA